AUGGAACCCUAUGUUGGCAUGAGGUUUGACAGCCUUCAAAUUGCUAAGGAUCACUAUAACAGCUAUGCACUACGGAUGGGUUUCUCUAUCAAGAUGAACACAUCUAGACGGACACCCCACACCAAUGAAUUGAUAAAACAACAGUUUUUCUGCAACAAGUUCAAGAAGCCCAAAGCUGACGAUGGAGGAGUUGAGGCUCCUCUUGUCCUGGACCCUAUUCCAGAUCCAAAAUCUGUUGACAGUGAUGAGGAGAUGGAAGAAGAACCUCCAAUAUUUGCUGAAGAGGAGGCUGGUACUAGUAAGAAGAAGAAGAAGCGCAAACGCGAGACAAUAAAGCAGACUCAGUGCAAAGCGAAAAUGUUGGUGAAGCUGAUAGAUGGGCGAUGGGAGGUGAUGCACUUUGUUCGUGACCACAAUCAUCCGCUUGUGAACAAACCUUCAUUAUCCAAAUACUUGAGAUCCCACCAAGGCAUCUCACUUGAUGAAAAGGAGUUUCUGCGCAUCUUGUAUAACUGCAACUUGACUACAGGCGAUUACAAUCCAAGUACCAUGACGGGCCGUGCUACUACAGGUGAUCGUGAUGGUCCUACUGCCCCGUUGGAGGUUGCAUCCCCUGCACAAGCUUCUGAUGAUUUUGUGCCCAGGGAUCCUCCAAGGUCUACUACAAAGGGUAGGGCAAAAAGUCGACGAUACAAAUCGGCGCUGGAGCUACACCCAAAGAAGAAAAACAAAUGCAGCCAGUGCCAAUCUACAGAGCACACUGCUGGUGUGUGUCCACUCAGGCUACUGUGA
rnacentral:rRNA from 1 species